rnacentral:lncRNA from 1 species
GAAGAGUUCCAUAGCAAGUCAAGUGGUGCAUAAAAAUCUUCAAGUGAUACUCCCACUACGUCAAGUGACAGCCUUGUUACCAAUUAAGAGAUAAGCCUCAUGGUUAAGAAAUUUAACAAGUUCUACAAGAAUAGAGGCAAAGAGAGAGCCUCCAACUCAAGAUAUGAAGAAAGGAAUUCAUGCAGUCAUGACCAAAGUUGUUACAAUUGUGGAAGACCCGGGAACUCUUCCAAUGAGUGCACGACCCCCUCCAAGAGAAGAGAAC